rnacentral:misc_RNA from 1 species
GAUGAAGAACGUAGCGAAAUGCGAUAAGUAAUGCGAAUUGCAGAAUUCAGUGAGUCAUCGAAUCUUUGAACGCACAUUGCGCCCUGUGGUAUUCCGCAGGGCAUGCCUGUUCGAGCGUCAUUUCAACCCUCAAGCUCUGCUUGGUGUUGGGCCACGCCCUCGCGGCCGGCCCCAAAGCCAGUGGCGGCGCCGUCCGGCUCUAAGCGUAGUACAUCUCUCGCUCUAGGGCCCGGCGGCUGCCUGCCAGAACCCCAAACUCUUAUGGUUGACCUCGGAUCAGGUAGGGAUACCCGCUGAACUUAAGCAUAUCAAUAAGCGGAGGA